UCCGUAGGUGAACCUGCGGAAGGAUCAUUACAGAGUUCAUGCCCUCACGGGUAGAUCUCCCACCCUUGAAUACCUACCUUUGUUGCUUUGGCGGGCCACGUCCGCGUGUUGGCUUCGGCUGGCUGCGCCCGCCAGAGGACCCAAACUCGUUUGUUUAGUGAUGUCUGAGUACUAUAUAAUAGUUAAAACUUUCAACAACGGAUCUCUUGGUUCUGGCAUCGAUGAAGAACGCAGCGAAAUGCGAUAAGUAAUGUGAAUUGCAGAAUUCAGUGAAUCAUCGAAUCUUUGAACGCACAUUGCGCCCCUUGGUAUUCCGAGGGGCAUGCCUGUUCGAGCGUCAUUAUGACCACUCAAGCCUGGCUUGGUGUUGGGGUCCGCGGUCCCGCGGCCCUUAAAAUCAGUGGCGGCGCCAUCUGGCUCUAAGCGUAGUAAUACUCCUCGCUACAGAGUCCCGGUGGAUGCUUGCCAGCAACCCUCAAUCUCACGGUUGACCUCGGAUCAGGUAGGGAUACCCGCUGAACUUAA
rnacentral:rRNA from 1 species